rnacentral:lncRNA from 1 species
AUUUAAAUUAAUUAGUAAAUAUGAUGUGGAUUGCACGUGCUCUGCAAUUAGUGUAUAUAUAUAUAUAUAGAGAGAGAGAGAGAGAGAGAGAGAGAGAGAGAGAGUUGAGCUAGAAUACUCUUAAAAGCACCAAGGGAAUGGUGCUUUUGAGUUUUUAACCAUUGGAUGGAGAGAUGUAGGAUUGGGAUGAUGAUGGUAGAUGGUGGUAGGUGGAAUAGUGUUUAAUCCAAGGGGUAUUAGUAAUUUAGAAGUAGAUCUAAGGCUAAAAACCUAGAAGCACUAAGGAGUUGGUGCUUCUAAAAGUAUUCUAGCUAUAUAUAUAUAUAUAUAUAUAUAUAUAUAUAUAUAUAUAUAUAUAUAUAUAUAUAUAUGAUUGUUUUGUAUCCAACUACUGUAGUUAAAACCGUAGAAGAACAGCUGUAACAUUAGGAAUUACGCUCAAAUUGGCUACAGACGAAAUAUGGCAAUUGAAAAGAGUAACUUUAAUCGAAAGGUGUGCUUACCAUCUUAAUCAUUCGUUAAAUAGAAUGUGAAUUUUUUUUGCAUAGAGAUAAUUCUCACCACCUUACAUACAAGAUGAUAAAAUUUAUAAAAAUAGGUCUCAACUGUAUGCUACUAAACAAAUUAUUUAUUAGUUAUAAUUUUUCUCAUUAUAUUCAACCAAACAAAAUACAUGUAAUUACAAUUGCUAAAGUUUAAAUUACAUGCUUAUCCAACUUCAUGACAUUUACAGUUAUGUUCAAUCAAACAACCCCUUUGCACAGAAAGUGCGAUAACAAUAUAUUCACUUUGAUUCCGUAAUAGUAAAUGAUAAUGUC